rnacentral:rRNA from 1 species
UAGCCUUGACAUUGAAAGAACACACUAGAGAUAGAGUGGUGCCCUUCGGGGAGCUUGAAAACAGGUGCUGCACGGCUGUCGUCAGCUCGUGUCGUGAGAUGUUGGGUUAAGUCCCGCAACGAGCGCAACCCUCGUCCUUAGUUGCCAGCAGGUUAAGCUGGGCACUCUAAGGAGACUGCCUUCGCAAGGAGGAGGAAGGUGAGGACGACGUCAAGUCAUCAUGGCCCUUAUGGCUAGGGCUACACACGUGCUACAAUGGGGCGUACAGAGAGUUGCGAUACCGCGAGGUGGAGCCAAUCUCAUAAAGCGUCUCUCAGUUCGGAUUGGAGUCUGCAACUCGACUCCAUGAAGC